CCUACGGGUGGCAGCAGUGGGGAAUUUUGCGCAAUGCUCGUAAGAGUGACGCAGCGACGCCGCGUGAAUGACGAAGGCCUUCGGGUCGUAAAGUUCUUUCGACAGGGAAGAAAAUGCCUAUAAGUAACUAGGUAUGUCUUGACCGUUCCUGUAUAAGCAGCCCCGGCUAACUCCGUACCCGCAGCCGCGGUAAAACGGCGGGGGCGGGCGUUUUUCGGGGUGUCUGGGUGGAAAGAGCACGUAGGCGGUGUUGUAAGUCAUUAGGUAAAGAGUUGAGAUAAAAUUUAGUAAGGCUAGGGAUACGAUAAUAUGAGAGUAUCAGAGAGGAGUGCAGAAUUCCUGGUGUAGCGGUGAAAUGCGUAGAUAUCAGGAGGAAUACCGUUAGCGAAGGCGGCAAUCUGGCUGGAAACUGACGCUGAGGUGCGAAAGCGUGGGUAGCAAACAGGAUUAGAUACCCCGGUAGUC
rnacentral:rRNA from 1 species